rnacentral:lncRNA from 1 species
GGGUCCAAGAGGCUCAAGAGGUCCCAGAGGUCCCACUGGUAAACCAGGUCCAAAGGUAAUUGUCAAGCACACUGUAUAGGUUGGCUAUGAGCUGUUUCUUUUAAAUAAAUGUAAAGCCUUAAACAUACUCUCUUUCCUUUCCAGGGCACUUCAGGCAAUGAUGGUCCUCCUGGCCCACCAGGCGAAAGGGGACCACAAGGGCCUCAGGGGCCUGUUGGAUUCCCCGGACCGAAGGGACCUCCAGGUCCACCUGGAAAAGAUGGCUUGCCUGGGCACCCAGGACAGCGGGGUGAGACUGGUUUUCAAGGAAAAACUGGUCCUCCUGGUCCUGGUGGUGUUGUUGGCCCUCAGGGUCCUACUGGUGAGACUGGACCAAUUGGUGAAAGAGGCCAUCCAGGUCCUCCUGGUCCCCCAGGUGAACAAGGCCUCCCGGGUGCUGCAGGAAAAGAAG